rnacentral:rRNA from 1 species
CACGUAGGGCGCAAGCGUGUCCGGAAUUAUUGGGCGUAAAGAGCUCGUAGGCGGUUCGUCGCGUCGGCUGUGAAAUCCCGAGGCUCAACCUCGGGUCUGCAGUCGAUACGGGCGGACUGGAGUUCGGCAGGGGAGACUGGAAUUCCUGGUGUAGCGGUGAAAUGCGCAGAUAUCAGGAGGAACACCGGUGGCGAAGGCGGGUCUCUGGGCCGAUACUGACGCUGAGGAGCGAAAGCGUGGGGAGCGAACAGG